CAGCCGCCGCGGUAUACGAAGGGUGCAAGCGUUACUCGGAAUUACUGGGCGUAAAGCGUGUGUAGGUGGUUGUUUAAGUCUGUCGUGAAAGCCCUGGGCUCAACCUGGGAAUUGCGAUGGAUACUGGGCGACUAGAGUGCGGUAGAGGAUAGUGGAAUUUCCGGUGUAGCAGUGAAAUGCGUAGAGAUCGGAAGGAACAUCUGUGGCGAAGGCGACUAUCUGGGCCAACACUGACACUGAGACACGAAAGCGUGGGGAGCAAACAGGAUUAGAUACCCCAGUAGUCCCUGUCUCUUAUACA
rnacentral:rRNA from 1 species